GCCAGGUGCGGUGGUACACACCUGUAAUCCAAGUGGCUCAGGAGGCUGAGACAGGAGGAUCACAAGUUGGAGGCCAGCCCCAGCAACUCAGCGAGGUUCUAAGCAACUUAGCAAGACCCUGUCUCUA
rnacentral:sRNA from 1 species